CAACAGGACUGUGGAAUUGUUUCAGGAACCUCUGUGGUUAAAACUACAGCUGGAGUUGACUGCCUGGGGGAUGUCAGUUAAUUAAGGGGCAAUGAGUUGCCAGAGAAAAUCAGGGGAGAGUCACCUAGGUAAAUCAUUAUGGUUUUAGUAAAGGUAGAAUUAUGAAAUUUUUUUUACAAUUAAGACAGAGUAUGAAAAUAUUUAAUGACAGAUUUUUUUUAUAUGAUACUUUAUUUCCUGUAUCUUCCUUAACUAGAUAACUAGGUAGAUAGAAAGAAUGGCAAACAAAAGGGAAAGGGGAAAAAAAUAAGAGAGACCAAGAAACCAAGAGAAAAAGUUCCGGCUCACUUUAAGUUAUUGCCUACA
rnacentral:lncRNA from 1 species